CAAUGCUUUUGUUCUUUCAAUUGCAUAUCUCCUCAGUUUGAAGGUGGUUUAUGCUUGUGAUUGUCCUUCAAUGAAAUUCAACUGUCUUUAAUCAUCUGGCUGCUGGAAAUCAAUAUAGUGAAGUUCCUGUGAACAAGAACGUGAAGUGAAGGCCAAACUUUUGCAAAUGAUGGAAGCACGGUUUUCUACUGAAUUAGAUAGUACAAAGCAUUCUCAAGAUCUGCACUUUGAUUAUAGCUAUCAUCAGACAUAAACUCUAUAAGUUCAAUGCCAACAUCCAAGGACACUCGGGUUAAUCAAUGAAGAUCUGACAUCUGAUGAGUUGUUUUGCUGCUGCUGAUGAUGAUGGCUUGCGUUACAUCAUUAAACGACCAUGAAAUCAUGAUUUUUGGAUUCUGAAUAUAGCUUGGUUUGGGGAAACAUGAAUGGAGGUUUAUUAUUGCCUUGAAUUGUUGUGUAUUGAUUUCUUCAUCUAUACCUACUCAUUUUGUUAAUAGUUAACUUUUUUUUUUUAGUUUUUUAAAGUGUAAUAUUACAAGUUAUUGAGGCAAA